CAAGGACCCGGACAGGAAACGAGCCUGAGACACCCGGGAGACCUGAAGCGAGCAGCAACAGGAAAAGACACCAGAAGGGAGAGGACACCGGAAAAGAAGAAGGCAUUCCUAGAACCAUGGAGAGGAUUGUGAAGAGUUGAAUGGAGGUCAACCAAGACAUCUGUGCACAGGUCUUCUGUGAUAUCUCUCAGGAGAUGUUACUCAGAACUUCUUCAAGAAUGAAGUGAGGUAGAACCUGAGAUGGCAGAGGCACAAAGAAAUUUCACGUCUGUUGAGUUACGGGCCGUCAUGAAGUUUUUGUUUCUCCAGGGAAAGGACAUUCAUAGUGAGGACACUUCUCCCCUAGUGUUUGUGACAUCUCAGUGUGAAUCUCCUUUGCAGUCAUUCCCGAAUAAAAUCCUGAUUCAUUUUAAU